rnacentral:rRNA from 1 species
ACCUACGGGAGGCAGCAGUGAGGAAUAUUGGUCAAUGGGCGGAAGCCUGAACCAGCCAAGUCGCGUGAGGGAAUAAGGCCCUACGGGUCGUAAACUUCUUUUGCCGGGGGACAAACGGCGGCACGCGUGCCGUCCUGAGGGUACCCGGAGAAAAAGCAUCGGCUAACUCCGUGCCAGCAGCCGCGGUAAUACGGAGGAUGCGAGCGUUAUCCGGAUUUAUUGGGUUUAAAGGGUGCGUAGGCGGGAUGCCAAGUCAGCGGUCAAAUACGGGGGCUCAACCUGCGUCCGCCGUUGAAACCGGCGUU